rnacentral:rRNA from 1 species
AAUAUUGGACAAUGGGCGAAAGCCUGAUCCAGCCAUGCCGCGUGUGUGAAGAAGGNCUNNGGAUUNUNAAGCACUUUAAGUGGNNNNNAAGGGCAGUAAGGUAAUACGUUGCUGUUUUGACGUUAACGACAGAAUAAGCACCGGCUAACUUCGUGACCGCAGCCGCGUUAAUACGAAGGGUGCAAGCGUGAAUCGGAAUUACUGGGCGUAAAGCGGGCGGAGGUGGUUUGUUAAAUUUGAAGUUAAAGCCCCGGGCUCAACCUGGGAACUGCUUUCAAAACUGGCAAGCUAGAGUAUGGAAGAGGGUGGUGGAAUUUCCUGUGUAGCGGUGAAAUGCGUAGAUAUAGGAAGGAACCCCAGCGGCGAAGGCGACCACCUGGGCUAAUACUGACACUGAGGUGCGAAAGCGUGGGGAGCAAACA